rnacentral:lncRNA from 1 species
AUUUUGAAGAAGUGAUUUUACAUGUUAAUACUUUCCAUGUCCCUUUUACAGCUGUCCCCAUUUAAAAGUGCCUUAAAUAGCAUGAAUUUAUAAAGGAGUUUGGCUAUUAGGAAAUGUAGAUUCCUCAACUUUACUCUCAAUAGCUGUGAAGGUACAGGCAACACACUGCCUUUGUGAUGGCUGAUAAACGUUGGAAGGUAUCCAGAGAGGGCUGGCUGUGCCAAUAUCUCUCUUCUCCCUCUUGCAGUGGAAAAUGUGAGAAGUCUAAGAAUAACCGAAGCACGCAGACAGUGAGGCUGGGGGAUUCUAACACUGCUCCUCAUGGAAGCGUAUUUCCGUGAAAUGGGACUUGCUUAAAAAUGUAUUGGGCGUAUUUUAAAAGUCUGUUUAAGUUGGGCAUGGUGGUGCACGCCUUUGAUCUCAGCACUUGGGAGGCAGGGGCCAGACUGGUCUACAAAAGGGAGUCCAGGACAAUCAGGGUCUGUUACACAGAGAAAUCCUGUCUUGAAAAAAAAAAAUCAGUUUAAUCUGGCCACAUAGGUAAAGGAGCCAAGUCGGCAGCCAUGGAAUGGCUUUACCGCCGUCAGAUAUGCAGAGAAACGCGCUCCAUCCUAACUCCAGCACACAGCUCCACUCGAGAGGCCCUUGAAGCUGUGCUGACUCCAUAGCAGAGAGAGAAUGUUAGGAAUGCUGACUGUCCUCCACUCUGCCCAACUCCACUCUGCAGAUAAGGUGAAGAUUCAAGGGCCCUGCUCUCAAGGAAGAAGUCAUUUGUCAAGUCACAUGGUGUUGAAUAGCGUCACAAAUACCCACUUCUCCUCCACGCACUAAUCUGAGCAGCUUUCUCUUUGGAGCCUUCCAAAGUCAAGUGAAUGCGUAUUUUAUUUGCUACUUACUAACUCUAAGUGACUGAAAUACACGCUUUGGGGUUUUACCAAGCAUUCAUUGUAAGGCAAGGGAGGUGGCCUGCAGGGGAGAACCCUCUCCACUGCCUGACUUUGGAGUACCAAGUUCUGGUUUCAUACAGAUUGGCCCAGCACUCUUAACAGGGUGAGGGAGUGGAACGGUCUAAAUUUAAACUAUAGAAUCAACAUUUUCUCUAGAACUCCUUCCAGUCUGGAGAGGUGUAGGUGGAUCCUGUGAAUUACACGGUAACGCACGCGCUCUCCCUGCAUCCUGCUUGUGUCAAAACAUUUCCAGGGCCUUUCAUUUGGGGAGAUCUUAUUUUAGGUUACAGAAUGGGGUGGAGACUCCCUUUCUUUCAUUUUCUUCUUUUUUGUUUUUGUAGCGUUAUUUAAAAUUUUUUUAGGGACCUUUAGAUGUUUUGUUUCUCUCU